GCGGUAUAGCCAAGUGGUAAGGCAAAGGUCUGCAAAACCUCGAUCAUGGGUUCAAAUCCCGUUACCGC
rnacentral:tRNA from 1 species